AAUCAGAUCCCUCAUUACAAUUGUACACUUACCUACUCACUCACUCACUCUCCCUUUGUUUUGUAAGUAUUUCUAGGAGUUCUGUUACCGAUUCGUGAUCGAAGAGCGGUGCCGCAAUUUUGCGGAGCAAGGACCGAAUCAGGAGUUGGGAUUUUGCGGUGGGGAGGAACUUGAAUCUGGGGUGUUGAUCCAGAGAUCUGAUUGAUUUUAGCGAACCUCUACAAUGGCUAGUGAGAAAUCUAGUGCAGAUUUCCCACCCGAGCCUGUGGAAGUGGUGCACUGGGAUGACACCCAUGUUGCGACUCCAGCACCACCGAAGCUUGAGGAUCUGGUAAAAGCCAACCAGAAUCCGUUCGUGCCUUUGGAGGCUUUGCCUUCCUCAAAGGACAACGCGGCGGAGGCAGAGGCGGCCAUGAAGAACCUUGGCUUGAAGGCAGAGGGGUUGGAGCCGGCAGAAGAGGGAGGUAAGAAGAAACCCACUUCAGAAAAGAAAUCCGAACCUGAGGAAGCAAAUGUUCAGGUAGAGCGGAUGGGCAAGGAGCAGCUGGACAAGGAUGCUGGGAAGGAAGAGAAGCCCGAACACGAUGAGAGCGCACCAGUGGAACAGACAAGCAGAGAUUUUGAUUUCUCGGAGAAGAAGUCUGAGAAACCUGAGCAGCCUGAGCAGGAGCAGAUAGUGGCACAUUGGGAUGAUACUCAUGUGAAGAUUCCUGAGGAGGCCAAGGUUGAGGAUCUGUCAGAACAAAAUAGAAACCCGUAUGUUCCAUUAGAGGCACGACCUUCUUCUAAGGAUGGAACCGAGUCUGCGGAAGCGGCCGCAAAGAGCGUCGAGAGUUCAGAGAUGCCUGAGCAAGAAGAAUCGGGCAUCUCGACAGAGCAGACGAGCAGAAAAUCAGAUAUGGAUGUGUCGGAGAAGAAGCCCGAGACUGAAGAAUCGGGUAUGCCAGUCGAACACAAAAGCAAGGAUUUUCCCGCCUUGGAAAAGAAGCCUAAGCAGGAAGACCAUGGGCACAAAGUGCACAAGGUAGAGGAGGGCAUGAAGAAGAUUCACAUUGAUGAGGAUAAGAAGCAUAUUGAGGCAAGAGAGAAGUCAAUUGUUGUUGAUGAUGAGGAUGUGAUUGACGGAAAGCAGGCCAAGAAGCACCAAGAGACGAAACUGAGGGAAGCAUUUGAAGAGGAAGAAGGGAAAGAGGGGAAGAAGCACACGAAGGAAUUUGAUCAAGUGGAAGAAGAGGAGAUGGAAGACGAAGAGAAGAAGCACAGGGAGAAGCACAAGAAGAAAGACCUGGGAUAUGAAGGGAAGGAGGUGAAGGAGAAGAAGAUGGAGCAUAUUCAAGGCGAUGGGAAGGAGGAGGAGAAGAAGGAGAAGUAUGAAGAGCAUGUGGAUAGCCAUGGCAAGGAGAUCGAAAAGGAGAAGAAGGACAAGCACAAAGAGAAGGAUGAUGAAGGUGUAGUGAAGAAGGAUGAAAAGGAGGAAAAGCACAAAGAGGAGGUUGCUGAAGGCCAUGAGACAGGCAGAAGAACGCAGAGAAGAAAAAGCACAAGGAAGAGGACGCUGAAGGUAAUGAGAAGAAGGAGAAGAAGAACGACAAGAAGGAGAAGCUCAAGGAGGAAGACGAUGAAGGCAAUGAGAAGAAGGAGAAGAAGAAGGAAAAGAAGGACAAGCACAAGGAAGAAGAUGCUGAAGGUAACGAGAAGGAGGAGAAGAAGGAGAAAAAGAAGGAGAAGCUCAAACAUGAGGAUCCUGAAGGUAAUGAAAAGAAGGAGAAGAAGAAGGAAAAGGCGAAGAAGCACAAGAAGGAGGAUGCGGAAGGCAACGAGAAAAAGGAGAAGAAGGAGAAAAAGAAGGAAAAACAUGAAGAGGAAGAUGCUGAAGGCAAUCAGAAGAAGGAGAAGAAGGAAAAGGAGAAGAAGCACAAGGAGGAGGAUGCCGAAGGUAAUGAGAAAAAGGAGAAGAAGAAGGAAAAGAAGGAGAAGCACGAGGAGGAGGACGCUGAAGGUAAUGAAAAGAAGGAAAAGAAGGAGAAAAAGAAGGAGAAGCACGAAGUGGAAGAUGCUGAAGGCAAUAAAAAGAAGGAGGAAAACAAGGAAAAGAAAGUGGAGCACAAAGAGGAGGACGCUGAGGGUAACGAGAAGAAGACCGAAAAGACGGAGACGCACAAGGAUUAAUGUGGAGAAGCACUGAGAAGUAGAUGAAGAAGGUAAUAAGGAAAAAGGAGCACAUGGAGGUUGUUGCAGAGUAAGAUGCCGAAAAGGAUGAG